rnacentral:rRNA from 2 species
UUUGCGGCGGCCAUGGCCCAGGAGAGACGCCCGGUCCCAUUCCGAACCCGGAAGCUAAGGCCUGGCACGGCGAUGGUACUGCACCCGACAGGGUGUGGGAGAGUAGCACGCCGCCGCACC